rnacentral:lncRNA from 1 species
CAUCAUUAAAAUUUAAAAUAAAAUAUCUUUGAUUAUUAUAAUUUAGAUCCCAGCAUACCGAAGGAGGAAGUGCCAGAUGUGGAAUGGGAAUUCACUGAUUCUGAUAAUGAGGUUGACGAUGAUAGUUUUCACUUUGAUAAGUCAGCAUUGGAGCACACAUCGCUAAGGUUUAAUUCAGUGUCAGCCCAAGCCAACUCAGAUAUGUCUAAUACAGUGAGCCAUAUUAUCCCUCUUCUGAGGAGCUUGAGACUAAUUAUUUUUCUGGUGAAGAAAAUAAUUUUAGAUUCCUCGUAUUUUGUAUGGAAAUGGAAAAGUAUUAUUCGAAGUUAAAAGUGGGCAAAAGAUUUUGGGACAGAGCUGAAUUCAGGAAAGCAGUUAAGCACUAUGGGGUUGAAAGUAGGACUAACAUAAAAUUUAAGGUGAACAAUGCUCAUAGAGCUCAGGGUGUGUGUAAGAAAGGUUGUACUUGGAGAAUUUGGGCUUCUUGGAGCAAGAAGGACUGUGUACAGAUUAAGUCGUACAAUCCAAAUCAUACAUGUAGCAGGGACAACACUAAUAGGCACUGCACAUAUACUUAUCUAGCAGAGAGGUAUCUAGAGACAUUUAAGGUUGAUCCUUGUUGGAGAACAAAAAAUUUUAUCAAGAGGGUUAAGGAUGAUUUGAAACUAAAAAUUAAUAGAGUUAUUGGGUUUAUCAAGACUUUUACGUACGAUUGGGUUUCAGUUUAUGCCUACACCGGGGAUUGGAUUAACAUGCAAUCCAUGUGUCACAAAUGCUAAACAUCAACCCAUUACACCUCAUAGUUCAGCAAAAGAAAAACAGAAUCAAGUGCAAUCAUUUGAAGAUUUUAGAGGGCCCUCUCAAACCAAUAAUGUGACAGAAAUGGUAGAAGAUUUGAACGUAUUAAUUUUGAUGAGCAGCCACAGUAAGGGCAGCGAGGGCAAAGAAUAGACAAGAGUAAUGUUCCCAGCACUUGAAACACUCAUUCUAAGGGACAUGCCAAACCUAACAGAGUGGGCGGAAGCAGAAGUGAUGACAGUGGCAGAAACACGAGCAUGCAGAGAGCAGGAAUUUCAUUGCCUUGAAGAUUUGGUGAUUCAAAAUUGACGCAAAUUGAAUACUUCUCCAAGUCAUUUCCCUCCCUUGAAAAUUUUGAUGACUGAAACUAUGGAUAGUGAUUUUGUAUUGACAAAGAUUUUGGGUAGCAACAACCUAACUUCUUUGGAAAAGCUCACGAUCAAGAAUAUAUCAACACUCACUUGUCUUUCCCACAUGAAAGGCUACCGAAAAUAUCUUCGAGAGUUGAUUAUUACAGGUUGUGACAAAUUGAGUGAAUUAACUGAUGAUCUACACAGCUUCCGAUCUCUUGAGUCUUUGAUAAUAAUUGGAUGUCCAAGCCUGAAAUCAAUUUCAAAUCAAAGUGGACAAGAAGGUUCCCUUUCUCUUGUAAAGUUGGAAAUUAUUGAUUGCUUAGAGCUGAGCUGCCUACCAAGUGAAAUGAUCGAGUCCUUUAGGUGUCUGGAGUAUCUAUGCGUGAAUCGAUGUUUAAAACUUGUAUCUAUGCGUGAAUCGAU